rnacentral:misc_RNA from 1 species
UACGGAGGGGGCAAGCGUUGUUCGGAAUUACUGGGCGUAAAGGGCGCGUAGGCGGAACAGUAAGUUAGGGGUGAAAGUCCUGGGCUCAACCUGGGAACGGCCACUAAGACUGAUGAUCUUGAGUUCGGAAGAGGAUGGCGGAAUUCCCAGUGUAGAGGUGAAAUUCGUAGAUAUUGGGAAGAACACCGGUUGCGAAGGCGGCCAUCUGGUCCGGAACUGACGCUGAGGCGCGAAAGCGUGGGUAGCAAACAGG